GCCUUCGUAGCUCAACGGACAGAGCGGCGAGUUUCUACCUCGCGCGGUGCGGGUUCGAUUCCUGCCGGAGGCG
rnacentral:tRNA from 1 species